rnacentral:rRNA from 1 species
CCUACGGGCGGCAGCAGUGAGGAAUAUUGGUCAAUGGACGCGAGUCUGAACCAGCCAUGUCGCGUGCAGGAAGACUGCCCUAUGAGUUGUAAACUUCUUUUGUACGAGGGUAAACGCAGAUACGCGUAUCUGUCUGAAUGUAUCUUACGAAUAAGGAUCGGCUAACUCCGUGCCAGCAGCCGCGGUAAUACGGAGGAUUCAAGCGUUAUCCGGAUUUAUUGGGUUUAAAGGGUGCGUAGGUGGGUUGAUAAGUUAGUGGUGAAAUCCUGAGGCUCAACUUCGUAAUUGCAAUUGAUACUGGUAGGCUAGAGAGUAGUUGAGGUAGGCGGAAUGUGUGGUGUAGCGGUGAAAUGCUUAGAGAUCAUACAGAACACCGAUUGCGAAGGCAGCCUACCAAGCUACUUCUGACGUUGAGGCACGAAAGUGUGGGGAGCAAACAGGAUUAGAUACCCUAGUAGUC